AAUUCGUGGUGCAGGCAUUUCUAAAUUGACGUUUUAAAACAUUCUCAAGCCUCAUAAAACUUUUUCCUUCCAUCUGUCUAAAGAUAACAAUCUCUUUUCUUAGUU